AUCAGGAACUAGAGUGGUUAGAAUGGGAAGUAAACUGCAUAAUGGGUAUGGGGCUUUUUGAGGGGGUGAUAAAAAUGUUUUGGGACUAGGAAGAGCUGGUGGUUGUCCAGCAUUAUGAAAAGCAAGUGAAUCACUCCUCAAAAAAAAAGAAAAUUAACCAUUUUUAAGGGAACAAUGCAUUUGCCCCACUUGGGAGGGGCCAAAGAUAAGGACAAAACUGAACAGCAUCUUCAAUUUCAGCACAAUCUCUUGUCCAUCUCUCCCCCAGUAUCUUGAGCCCUUGGGGGCAGGAAGAACUGCGUCUCCCUGUACAAGAUUUGGGAUUCUCCAUCAGUAGUCUACAGAGUGGAAAGAUAGAGGCCAUCAGAAGGCUUUGAAAACGCCUGGUUCUGGUGAAACACCAUCAGGACACCUAUUUCAAAAUUUGCCACCGUGGCGUUUGGAAAGCAACAGCGCAGGAGUCACCCUCUGAGCUUCUCCCACCCCUCUCCCCUGCAGUGGAAUUCUCUGAAGGAGACCGUCAUUCUAGAGGUGCUUGUCCUCACCCUACACCCAGGUACAGCAACAUCCUCACCUCUGG
rnacentral:lncRNA from 1 species